rnacentral:rRNA from 1 species
GUGGGGGAUAUUGCACAAUGGGGGAAACCCUGAUGCAGCGACGCCGCGUGCAGGAAGACGGCCCUCCGGGUUGUAAACUGCUUUUGUACGGGAAUAAACCUCGCUACGUGUAGCGAGCUGAAUGUACCGUAAGAAUAAGGAUCGGCUAACUCCGUGCCAGCAGCCGCGGUAAUACGGAGGAUCCAAGCGUUAUCCGGAUUUAGUGGGUUUAAAGGGUGCGUAGGCGGCCUGUUAAGUCAGGGGUGAAAGACGGUGGCUCAACCAUCGCAGUGCCCUUGAUACUGAUGGGCUUGAAUAGACUAGAGGUAGGCGGAAUGUGACAAGUAGCGGUGAAAUGCAUAGAUAUGUCACAGAACACCGAUUGCGAAGGCAGCUUACUAUGGUCUUAUUGACGCUGAGGCACGAAAGCGUGGGGAUCGAACAGGAUUAGAUACCCCAGUAGUCC